GACGAACGCUGGCGGCGUGCCUAAUACAUGCAAGUUGAGCGCUGAAGGUUGGUACUUGUACCGACUGGAUGAGCAGCGAACGGGUGAGUAACGCGUGGGGAAUCUGCCUUUGAGCGGGGGACAACAUUUGGAAACGAAUGCUAAUACCGCAUAAAAACUUUAAACACAAGUUUUAAGUUUGAAAGAUGCAAUUGCAUCACUCAAAGAUGAUCCCGCGUUGUUUUAGCUAGUUGGUGAGGUAAAGGCUCACCAAGGCGAUGAUACAUAGCCGACCUGAGAGGGUGAUCGGCCACAUUGGGACUGAGACACGGCCCAAACUCCUACGGGAGGCAGCAGUAGGGAAUCUUCGGCAAUGGACGAAAGUCUGACCGAGCAACGCCGCGUGAGUGAAGAAGGUUUUCGGAUCGUAAAACUCUGUUGGUAGAGAAGAACGUUGGUGAGAGUGGAAAGCUCAUCAAGUGACGGUAACUACCCAGAAAGGGACGGCUAACUACGUG
rnacentral:rRNA from 1 species